CUCUCAGCGUUCCUUUAGCAUUUACUUCCUUCCUCGGAGUUCCGGUCGCCGCCCAGGGCCGGGCGCUGUGGGCGGUGGCGGGCGGCAGAGCAGCGACCGGUCCCACCUCGCCUCACCCUCCUCCAGGUCAGCGAUAUGAACAGUGAUGAAAGCCCCCCUGAGCAUCCUUUUCUUGAGCCUAAAAACCCCCACUCCCUCAGCCAUUCCUCAGAAGAGCUCUCUGGAAACUCUCCAGCACCUCCAUGUCCUUUGUGUAGUGAAGGGCCCAACGCUGAAUGUGCCACUUGAGGUGUGGCCUGACCAAUGCCGAGAACAGGGGGAUCAUCACUUUCCUGGUCCUGCUGGUCCCUGCAAAAUAUAAAUCAUAACACUUAGCCCCUCACUGUUGAAUAAUACUAUUAUGUUGUUCUAAUUAUUGUGGUGGGGGGUUUAAGGUAUUUUUAGGAGCAUUUUCUUCAACAUCUUCAUAGAUCAGCUUGACUCAGUAUAUAGACAUGGAUCUACUUCAGUUUGCCCAAACCAGUACUUCAGCUGGACUACAGACUGCAACUGUGCACAAACUGCCUUUCAAAAUAUAUGUUUAAAAUAUGUAAUACUUCAGCUGAACAUUAAUAAAUUAUAUUUGAGCUCCUGAA